UGAGAUGACCAAUCAAAUCAAAGUAGGCGGGGUUUACUGUUCACAGAAGCGGAGCACAAAUUCCAGCGUGAAGCGUCAGUUUAUCAAUGAUGAAGAUGAAGCAUUAUGGAGGUUGAGCAUAAGUUGCAUCACCAGCAUCAGCACCUGAAGAACACAAAAGAUAAAUAACAAUACAAUAAUAAUACAAUGUAAGAGUUUUAUAUUUCCUCAAUAAGCCUUGUGACUUUAGGAAUCAUUCUGAUCUGUUGAAAAAAAUGGUGUGUGAUGGUUAAUUUUCUUUAAGGUUAGUGGUUUGAGUGUAAUAGUGAUG